rnacentral:rRNA from 1 species
AUUGAACGCUGGCGGAAUGCUUUUCGCAUGCAAGUCGAACGGUAGAGGGGGCAACCCCUCGAGAGUGGCGAACGGGUGAGUAAUAUAUCGGAACGUGCCCAGUCGUGGGGGAUAACGUAGCGAAAGUUACGCUAAUACCGCAUACGAUCUAAGGAUGAAAGCGGGGGCCCGCAAAACCUCGCGCGAUUGGAGCGGCCGAUAUCAGAUUAGGUAGUUGGUGGGGUAAAGGCUCACCAAGCCAACGAUCUGUAGCUGGUCUGAGAGGACAACCAGCCACACUGGAACUGAGACACGGUCCAGACUCCUACGGGAGGCAGCAGUGGGGAAUUUUGGACAAUGGACGCAAGUCUGAUCCAGCCAUUCCGCGUGCAGGAUGAAGGCCCUCGGGUUGUAAACUGCUUUUGUACGGAACGAAAAGGUCUCUCUUAAUACGGGGGGCUCAUGACGGUACCGUAAGAAUAAGCACCGGCUAACUACGUGCCAGCAGCCGCAGUAA